rnacentral:rRNA from 1 species
CAACUUGAGAGUUUGAUCCUGGCUCAGAACGAACGCUGGCGGCAUGCCUAACACAUGCAAGUCGAACGAACCCUUCGGGGUUAGUG